rnacentral:lncRNA from 1 species
ACCCUCGUAUGUCGACUUAUCCUCGGACCGAUCUGACUGACGCCUGACUCUACCCAUCGAAUAGACAUAUAACUCUGACAAUAUCCGACCGAAGGUAUGCUGGCCAAACAGACCAAUACUAUUUCCAACUGGCCGAACGGCCGAACCCACAUCACCGACUCACUAUCGGGGGUGGCAGUCGAUGUCCGACUUCCACACAGCACCAGAUCAGCCGAC